rnacentral:rRNA from 1 species
GAUGAACGCUGGCGGCGUGCCUAAUACAUGCAAGUCGAGCGAACAGAUGAGGAGCUUGCUCCUCUGACGUUAGCGGCGGACGGGUGAGUAACACGUGGAUAACCUACCUAUAAGACUGGGAUAACUUCGGGAAACCGGAGCUAAUACCUGAUAAUAUAUUUAACCGCAUGGUUCAAUAGUGAAAGACGGUUUUGCUGUCACUUAUAGAUGGAUCCGCGCCGCAUUAGCUAGUUGGUAAGGUAACGGCUUACCAAGGCAACGAUGCGUAGCCGACCUGAGAGGGUGAUCGGCCACACUGGAACUGAGACACGGUCCAGACUCCUACGGGAGGCAGCAGUAGGGAAUCUUCCGCAAUGGGCGAAAGCCUGAAGGAGCAACGCCGCGUGAGUGAUGAAGGUCUUCGGAUCGUAAAACUCUGUUAUUAGGGAAGAACAAAUGUGUAAGUAACUAUGCACGUCUUGACGGUACCUAAUCAGAAAGCCACGGCUAACUACGUG